CAGCUCUUCCUGGAGUCAGUGAUUCCAAGGUCAGGUGGUGCUUGUGGGUUUCCAGCCUGCCCCAGUUUUUCCUUGCCACCUGCCUGCCUAUGGACUGAAAACUUCAGCUCAUGCUCCUGAGGUCCAGCCUCUUGUGUUCUCCCUUCCCGGCUGCCUGUCCUGUGAGCCUCAGGUUUCUUAGCCAGUGCCCGGUCCAAGGAGAGGCGAUGCCAGCCGCUCCGCGCCCUGAUCUCAUUGUGGUACCAGAACGUCGAAGGCUCAUUGAGAGUACGUGUCUGAGCAGUGGUGAACUUUCAAAGUUGGAGGUGCCUCUCGGGGUUUGGCCACUUUUACUGCCCAUGAUCCCAGGGCCAUCUGACUACACUGGCAUUCGUCUGAUUUGUUAUUGAGGGACCAAUGUGUGUGUGAGCAAGAGUGGGGAUGUUCAGAGUUUAAUUAAGCAUCUGUCUUGGGCUUGUGCCCAGAUGCUCUGUGAUGGGUGAGUCCAAAAAUCAAUAACAACAGUGAAAGACAGAUAGGGUAACGCUAAUGAGCUCAAUAAUAACCACUUGUAAAACACGUCCGAACUUUGCAGGCUUCCUGGGGGGGGGAGGGGGUUGGCGCAUAUUCUGAAUGCCAAGGAAGGCUGAGCAUGGAAAUUCGGGUGGGAGUGAACAGGGCCACCUGUGAGGGUCACCGAGAAGCACUUCUGAGCCUGGUCGCUGGAGAGCAACGAUCAGACGCCCC
rnacentral:lncRNA from 1 species